CUUCGGUUGCAUAGUUGUGAUCGCGGAGGAAGCUGUUGUUGAUUUUGCGGGUGUCUAUUUCUUCAUCCAUUUACAGCAGACUUGCUUGCUUGGGAACCAGU